GUCUGGCAACACUGGCCACCAUGACCAUACCCGAAAGCAGGCGGUCGUUGCGUUGCGUUGUUUGCGUCGUCGUUCAAUUUGGACUUUGUCAACUGCAAAAAGAAAGGAACAGUGAAACAGAUAUAAAGCGUCACAGUAGGGUUCUAUUCAAGACAUCCUGUGCUGCCUUCAUGAAUUCCAAGCAAGCCCUAAUACCAAGCUUGGCGCGCGUCAAGCACGGUCGAACGAAGCAGCCACCCCCACCCUGAUCUUUCCGAGGCUGGACGUGAUUACUUGAUCUGACCGUUGCCUUGGAAAUGUCGUCGAUGGCGCUCUUCGUAGAAUCCGGUGUUCUGGGCCAAUGUUGCCAUGUCAAAGUGAGGAACGGCCAUGGUGUUUUGCGGAAGGUAUGAAGAAUGGAGAAGCAAGCGGAUGUCGAGAGGAAACGUGACAGGGGUCUACAGUGCAGCCCGGGUGAUUUGGAGAGAUUUGAAAUCACAAGUAACGUCGCGUCUGAAAAUCAGGGGUGUGCCAUCUUGAGGCAAGGAAGAAAACGUUCAACUACCAAGAGCUGAGCUCUCAACACUGCAACCACAGAGCCCUGAAACUGCCAGGGGCCCAGUCCAGUGGUGCUGUUCGUUUCUAGAGCCUCUACCAAGCCCCCUCGGGCUUUUCAUCCUGCUCCACCUACUUUUUGAUGUUGAAUAAAGAUUUGAUCUGUU